rnacentral:rRNA from 1 species
AACGAACGCUGGCGGCGUGCCUAACACAUGCAAGUCGAACGAGAAAGGGGCUUCGGCUCCGAGUAAAGUGGCGCACGGGUGAGUAACACGUAGGUAACCUGCCUCUAAGAUUGGGAUAACAUGUCGAAAGACGUGCUAAUACCGAAUAAGACCACGGCUUCCUCGGAAGCAGGGGUCAAAGAUAGCCUCUACUUGUAAGCUAUCACUUAGAGAUGGGCCUGCGUACCAUUAGCUAGUUGGUAGGGUAAUGGCCUACCAAGGCAAAGAUGGUUAGCUGGUCUGAGAGGAUGAUCAGCCACACUGGAACUGAGACACGGUCCAGACUCCUACGGGAGGCAGCAGUGGGAAUAUUGCGCAAUGGGCGAAAGCCUGACGCAGCAACGCCGCGUGAGUGAU